rnacentral:rRNA from 1 species
GACGAACGCUGGCGGCGUGCUUAACACAUGCAAGUCGAACGAAGAGCGAUGGAAGCUUGCUUCUAUCAAUCUUAGUGGCGAACGGGUGAGUAACGCGUAAUCAACCUGCCCUUCAGAGGGGGACAACAGUUGGAAACGACUGCUAAUACCGCAUACGAUCUAAUCUCGGCAUCGAGGAUAGAUGAAAGGUGGCCUCUACAUGUAAGCUAUCACUGAAGGAGGGGAUUGCGUCUGAUUAGCUAGUUGGAGGGGUAACGGCCCACCAAGGCGAUGAUCAGUAGCCGGUCUGAGAGGAUGAACGGCCACAUUGGGACUGAGACACGGCCCAGACGCCUACGGGAGGCAGCAGUGGGGAAUCUUCCGCAAUGGACGAAAGUCUGACGGAGCAACGCCGCGUGAGUGAUGACGGCCGUCGGGUUGUAAAGCUCUGUUAAUCGGGACGAAAGGCCUUCUUGCGAAUAGUGAGAAGGAUUGACGGUACCGGAAUAGAAAGCCACGGCUAACUACGUG